rnacentral:lncRNA from 1 species
AUAACAUACACGCCCAGAUGAUGUCACAAUCAGCUGUAUCUAAACAGAGCAGAGCUCAGGUGACAUCACAGAACAGGCAGAGGCAGUUCAGGGGUAUUCUGGUUGCCUUACCCAGCUCUGAAGUCUGUCAGCCUCUUCAGAUGUCACUUGCCAUGUGGUAAGGAAGUGUAGUCAGCAGCUGGUGCAGUGGGAAGAAGAGAAAGGAAGUUCCCCAAGACAAAAACAUCUCGGCAGACCGUGAUCAUGGGCUACAUUCUCCGUACCAGCUUCAUAGCUCCAGUGAGAAAAUAAAUUCCUGCAUCCAGGAGAUGUGGAGUAAGAGAUACAGCUGCCCUUGACCAUAUUUCUUACUUCCGAGAAGAUCGUAGCAGUAAUUCAGGUUAUUGGGGAACAGGUGGUUUGGGUUACAUGAAAUCUCAUCCAGGAUACCUCAUCACAGGCUGGAGUGCAGUGUCAUGAGCUUGGCUCACUACAGCCUCCAUCUUCUGUGCUUAAGGAUCCUUCCCUCUCAACCUCCAAGGUAGCUGAGACUACAGGCAACAUUCGAAACCCAGGUGCCACUCCUUCAGGAAGGUACCAUCAAGCUCCAAGGACUCAUCCUCUUUCUCCUUCCCCACUACCUAGUCAUUAGAGCGUCAGCAUCCACUUCCUGAAAGGAAGAUGCCUGUUUUUCACAUAUCCCAGAAAGCCUCAUUUUAGGACAGCAUUUAGCAGAGUGUAUUCAGGAUCCCACUAACCUUUUCGGAAGACAUGACUUCCAGAUGAUAUAAGGCUCCAUCAGGAACUGUGCAGGACUGUGCACUCUGUUGAUACUCACAUGGUGGAAUUAUAUUGCCCUUGGCCAACCCUAAAGCCAUCAAGAUAGCAGGUUUGGAAUAAUUCACUGUCGAAGUCUUCUUGAGCUGAGCAGUCAUGUGAGCUUGGAAGAUGAUCCCUCUCCAGCUGAUCCUUCAGCUCAGGCCAUCAUCUACAUCUGGAUUCCUGACCCGGAGAAACUAUGAGUAAUGUGUGCUGCUUUUGAGCCACUAAGCUACAUGAAUUAAUGAAGGAUCAUUAUUAAGUUUUUAAUGGGUCAAGAGAAAGUUACCACUGAGGUCUUCUCUACCUGGGCAACAAUUGACUCCUAACAACCACUAUAAGCUUGGAAGAUGAUCCCUCCCCAGCUGAUCCUUCAGGAAUUUCCACUGAAGUACCUCUGGUUGAAAAGGAGAACAGAGACUUUUUUCACAGCCACAGGACAAAAUUUGUUCAGAAUUAAAUGCUGAAAAAGGAGGCUGGAGUGCCGUGGCACAAUUAUGGUUCACCAGCCUCAACCUCCUGGGAUCAAGCAAUCGUCUCACCUCAGCCUCCUGAGUAGCUGGACUGCAGGUACCCACAAGUAGGGUUGACCACAGUAACAAGUAAGCAAGCAAAACAUUUUGUGAAAACCGUGAAGCAUCUUCCUCUGCAGUGACUUAUCAAAAGGGCCCUUUAGCCUAUCUACUGUGGUGUUCUAAAAGGAAGAAAGAGGCUAGUAAAUCCUGGAUACUUUGCUCCUACACCAAUAUUCCCAGCUGUACCUUGAAAUAAAAGGAUUUAGAACUUUA